ensembl:lncRNA
GGCGAAUAACAAAGGGCUCAGCGGACAGCCCUGCCGACUACCACGUUCAAUACUGAAAUUGCCCGACCUAUAACCAUUGGUAAUCACUGCCGAAAGAGGGGAAGUAUAAAGGAUCCGGAUCCAUUUAACAAAGUUGUCACCCAAACCAAAUUCUUGAAGUGUGAAAAGAAGAAACGGCCAUUCCAGACGGUCAAAGGCCUUUUCAGCAUCAAGCGAGAUGACUAGAGCCUCAGGGUUAAACAAAGAUGAGUGCUGAAUAAUGUUAAGUAGGCGCCUCACGCUAUGUGUGGAAUACCGCCCCCGUAUAAAACCAGUUUGAUCAUUCUUAACGAUCGAAGGUAGUAUUGGCUCAAGACGUAUAGCGAGGACCUUAGCAAGUAUCUUCAAAUCAAGAUUUAAAACAGAUAUAGGCCUAUAGGAAGCGCAUUCAUCAGGAGGUUUCCCCUUCUUCAGAAUUAGCGAAAUAUUAGCCUCCAUUAAGGAGGGGGGGAGAGUGCCUGCCUCAAAAGAGGACAGAAGCAUCUUAUACAGUGGGGAAGUUAGAACCUUACUGAAUUUCUUAAAAAAUUCCCCCGUGAACCCGUCCGGACCCGGGGCUUUGUUAUUUGGAAGCAUCUGAAUAACUUUCAAAAUUUCGCUUUGCGUGAUAGGUUUACAUAAAUCAUCCCUUUGGAUUUCAGUAACUUUAGGUAAAUUUAGUCCUAAGAAGAAGUGGUGCAUACCUUGUUCGUAUGUUGAUUUAAACUGGGAGGUAUAUAACUGCUUAUAAAAAGUUUUAAAAGUAUCAUUAAUAAUUAAAUUGUCAUAUUUAGGUAAACCAGAUGAGUCUCUAACACAUGGGAUAUUACAACCAGCACCCUUAUUAUGAAGAAGAUUGGCCAGAUACCGGUUAGGUUUAUUAGCAAACUCAUAUAACCUCUGCCUCAUGAAGAAAAGAGAUUUCUCAGCCUUUCUUGUCAGUAGUGCCUCCAAAGCCGUUUUAACCACCUGAAUUUCAGUCCUUAAUUGCUCAGAAGGUGAUUCAUUAUGUUUAGCUUGCAGUUCGUGCAAUUCCAGUUCUAAUUUCCGUUGUUCCAUCUGAUUUUUCCGCUUCAGGGGUUGCAUUGACCUUCAAAAAAUGUUCAAGCUGAUCAUUUAAAAAUAUUUCGAAUUUUGGGUCGUGAAUCAAAAAAUUGUUAAAUCUCCAGUUAUGAGACCGAGGGACAGGAUUUAGAUCACUUAGCUGAACAAAAACCGGCGCAUGAUCUGAAAUAAUAAUAUCGCCUAUUGUACAUCUCAAAAUGUUUCCUAGUGAUCGUUUGGGGGUGAAAACGAGAUCGAUUCUACUACUUGUUCUAUGAACACCAGAAAAAAAAGUAAAUUCUUUAUCGUUGGGGUGAAGAGUCCGCCAGGUAUCAACCAGAUCAAGUUCGUUACAAGUAUCUAACAGUGCUUUGGCCCUUGUAGACAUUUGAAUUUGUUUGGGAGGGGAUCUGUCCUUAGUUGUAGAAAAAUAAC